GUAGGUGAGUCCUCAUGUCCAUGGUGUAGGUGAGUCCUCAUGUCCACGGUGUAGGUGAGUCCUCAUUACCACGGUGUAGGUGAGUACUCAUGGUGUAGGUGAGUCCUCAUGGUGUAGGUGAGUCCUCAUGGUGUAGGUGAGUCCUCAUGGUGUAGGUGAGUCCUC